GUGGGGAAUAUUGGACAAUGGGCGAAAGCCUGAUCCAGCAAUGCCGCGUGAGUGAAGAAGGCCUUCGGGUUGUAAAGCUCUUUUACCCGGGAAGAUAAUGACUGUACCGGGAGAAUAAGCCCCGGCUAACUCCGUGCCAGCAGCCGCGGUAAUACGGAGGGGGCUAGCGUUGUUCGGAAUUACUGGGCGUAAAGCGCACGUAGGCGGUCUUUUAAGUCAGAGGUGAAAGCCCGGGGCUCAACUCCGGAAUUGCCUUUGAAACUGGGAGACUUGAACGCGGGAGAGGUGAGUGGAAUUCCGAGUGUAGAGGUGAAAUUCGUAGAUAUUCGGAGGAACACCAGUGGCGAAGGCGGCUCACUGGACCGUUGUUGACGCUGAGGUGCGAAAGCGUGGGGAGCAAACAGGAUUAGAAACCCUAGUAGUCC
rnacentral:rRNA from 1 species